CAUGCACGCGCACAUCCCCAGUUAACAUGAUCCCCAGUUGAUCCGUAACACCGGAGUCGAAGAGCGCGCGGCGGGACACGCGGACACGGCUUCAGCAGAGAGACCAACCAUGCGUGAAUAUAAGCUUGUGGUCCUUGGCUCUGGGGGCGUAGGGAAGUCUGCACUGACAGUCCAGUUUGUACAGGGAAUAUUUGUUGAAAAAUAUGACCCCACUAUAGAAGACUCUUAUAGAAAGCAAGUUGAGGUGGAUGGGCAGCAAUGUAUGCUAGAAAUCCUGGAUACUGCGGGCACAGAGCAGUUCACAGCGAUGAGGGACCUGUACAUGAAGAAUGGUCAGGGUUUUGCUCUGGUUUACUCCAUCACAGCACAGUCCACUUUUAAUGACCUGCAGGAUCUACGGGAGCAGAUUCUGAGGGUGAAGGACACAGAGGAUGUGCCAAUGAUCUUGGUCGGAAAUAAGUGUGAUUUAGAGGAUGAGAGAGUGGUUGGGAAAGAGCAGGGUCAGAAUCUCGCUCGUCAGUGGAGUAAUUGUGCCUUUGUAGAAUCUUCCGCCAAAUCAAAGAUCAAUGUCAAUGAGAUCUUUUAUGACCUGGUAAGACAGAUAAACAGAAAGACGCCAAUGGAGAAGAAGAGAGCAAAAAAGAAGUCAAACUGCAUCCUACUGUAACACAACUGCAGAGCAUCACUGCAGCAGCUCUGAGCCAGAUUUGAACUACAAGCUGAAAUAUGACCACAUACAUGAGCUUGACCAUACAUUACAUAACUGCUGACGUACUUGCAGAAGCCCUUCAGUCUGCUUUAGCAUUUAACAUUGUGGCUGCAAUAUGCAAACUUGGCUGGCCAUGGCUCAGUUGAUUAGGCCACAACCUCCAUAUGGCUGUUUCCCAUGGUUUGGACAGUGACAAGGAUCACACAGCGCAUGCCAUGGGACUUUGUAGGAAUCUUGUCAACACCUUCAACCUGAGCUGGCUAAAGAAGAGAGACCUGAGGAAGGCACAGACUGAAGCCAAUCUCCCCCAAACACAGUCUAGUACUGCUUACUUUGGGGCCUGUAAUGUACAUAAUUUCGUGAGCAGGAUGUCGCCACAUGAUGGGGCACCAAGCAAAAAAUGAUAGAGAGGGUGUUGGAGCAACCCCCAACCAUAAGAUGUGUCCUAGUUGAAGAUAGAAAACAUGGCCACCUCAGCCCAACCUGGCAGGAUGUUUCUGUGUUGGAAUCCAUUAAUGCAGCAAUAAAGCCAGUGGCUGAUUUUGCGGAUGUUCUCUCAGGGGAAAAAUACAUCAUUGUGUCCUCAGUAAAGCCUGUGUUGGAACUUCUUAAAGGCAAACUUUUAUCACCAGACCCCAGUGACACUGCACUGACAGCAAAGAUAAAGGAAAACGUGCAGGGAAUUGACGGAGAAAUACAGCCCACCUGAAAUCCAAGACCUCCUGAGAAAGGCCACCAUCUUGGAUCCGAGGUAUCGUGGUAGCAUGGAGGAUGCAGAGGUCUUGGAUGAUGUCAAACAUCAGCUCUUGCAAGAGCUACAAGACAUGAGUGGAAGAAGGAAGUGGAGAACGUGCCAGUGGUGAGAGCUGUGGUAAAGCUGCAGGGGGUAAUGAUGGAUCUGAACCUCCAUCACCCAAGAAGAAGAGGCUGAGUGACCUUCUCCAGAACAGAAGAACCCAGCUCACAAGUCGUCAGACCCAGGCUGUAUCGGUACCAAAAAUAGUGCAGGCUGAUGUAGGGCUGUCAAAUUAAAAUUUGAAUUUCGAAUAUUUGUCGUAUAAAAAAAAAAAAAAAACUGCACGUUCGAAUGCAAAAACCGUGCAUUCGAAUUUUAGGUGUAUCAGGAGGCGCACGAGACUUGAUGAUGACGUAGCUGACAAGGUUUGUUUUUGUUAGCCUAUCCAGUUCAACCCAUCAGAUGCGGCACGGCUGCGUUGUUUAUUUAAAAAAUGCCGGAAAAAGAGAGUGAGGACUCGGAGUCGGAGAGGAUCUUACUUACCCCAAAACAUCUUAAGUGCUGUGUGGCGCUUCGGUUUCUGGAGUAUCGAAGGCAAAAUUGUUGACACAACCAACGUCAUUUGUAAGUUGUGUAAGAAACCGCUGCUAUAUCACUCCACAACAUCUAACUUGAGAACACACAUGCAGUCUUCUCAUCCCAAAGAGUUUUCUCGAGAAUGUCAUGACGAGGGGCCAGCAUUAAAUGUACAAGUGAGAUGUACAAGAUGUAUGAGUGAGUGGAUAGUUUCGGAAUGACAGUUUGCCAUUUUGUGUUAACGUAAUACAUUACGCUGUCUGUUGAAGCGUGUUUUCUCAUAUUACUGAUGCACUUCCAUUUAAAUGCACUUUUGUUACCUCAAUUUCCUUACGUGCACAUUUAGGAUAUUAUAUUUGAUUUAUGAAUGAUUGUUUAAAACGUUAUGCACUUUAAACAAAGUCGUGUCAUUUCUUUUCAAUAAAAAAAUUCGAUGCUUGAUUUGGUUUGCUCAUUGCCCUCGCUUGCGCCCUGUUGUGGGCUUAGGAGACAAUACAGUACUUUUUUUUUCCUCUAACAAAAUAAUGUCUUAAGAAUUCGUAUAAUACUAUUAUGUAAGUAAGAAAUUCGAAUUUCGUUUUUCAACCGUUUUGACAGCCCUAGGCUGAUGCAGAGCUGACCAAGUUCUUUCAGGAAGAAGCACUUGAUGCAUCAUCUGAUCCCUUGAUGUGGUGGCAUGAUAAUUAUAGAAGAUUUCCUCUAAUAGCCAAGUUAGCACAAAAAUACAUGUGCAUUUGUGCAACAAGCACUAGCUCAGAGAGAAUGCUCAGCACAGCUGGCAACAUUGUUACCCCAGAGAGAUCCUGCCUUAAGCCCCACAAGGUAAACAUGUUGGUGUUCCUUGCUUGGAAUCUGCCUAACAAUUAAAAUACAGAUUUGGCAGCAGAUAUGGCCUGUUGUGGCAUCUCUGCCUUUGUUCAUAUGGACACCUGACUGAGGGUUUUGUGUUUUUGAGCAAAUGUGUGCUUAUUAUAACUGUGAUUUUAAAAGGCACAAGGCCUCAUCGCAUUGGUCAUAUUUCUUUUUUUUUUUUUUUUUUUUUUUACUUUACUGUUUGUUGUAUUUGUAGUAUGUUGUAUUUUUAGAAAUGCAAUUGCAUGAUUUGGCCACAAGAGAGCUCUGUUGUCCACUUGAGUUCAGUUGUUAGUGGAAACUAUAUCUGAUGUGUUUAUUCUAUCCCAAUAAGUACACUUUCACCCCACUAUACUGAGAAAAGGUCAGGGAAGAAACUGUAGAUGGAGAAUCUCCACACAAGUGCCUUUGUGUUAUGUCGAGAGACACUCUAAAAGGAGUCCUAAACUGACUUUGUCAAACAUGUUACUUUGUUCUACUUGUUACUUAUAUCUAACUUGUAGCUAAAAUGUUGUUACUUUGCACUUUUUGUUAACAAAGCUCAUAACCUUUGAGAAACUGGAUUGGCAGUAUAUUGCCUGUUAAGGAAUGAAUGACUCUAUACGCCUGUGCCAAAUGUUUAAUAUUUAGCGCAAUUUUGUUAACGGAGCCCGAGAGUCCAUUUUAUUUAUUGUUUUGAUUGUGUGGUUUUAUUUUAUUUGUUUUAUUUAGGAUAUUAAAUUUUUUUUUUUUACAUUCCAAUUCCAAUGUCUGAAUAUUCUUAAGAAUUAAAAGUUAAUUGCUCUUUGAAAUGGUGCACUUGCAUUAUUAUGCUAUUAUCAUUAUACCAAUGGCAUAAAAUGGUCUUAAAAUGACAAUAAUAUCGUUUAUUGCAAUUAUUUCUGGGACAAUAUAUCGCCCAACCAAUGUAGUUAUCGUGACAGGCCUAGGUCUACAUGAUAGGACAUGUGUUAUAAAAUAGUUUAGCCAGAUAAUUUUGAUUAUAGUGCUGUAAGUGAAUACCUCACGUGCCAUUUCAAACAAAUGUAGUAGCCUAGGACUGAGCAGCAUAUUGUUGUUUCAGAGCGCAGUAACUCAGCUGACUUGUGCUUCACAGAAACCUGGCUGAGUGAAGCCAUUCCGGACAGCGCGUGACAUCUGCCGGGCUUUCAGCUGUUCAGAGCGGAUCGCAUUGCGGCAUUAACUGGGAUAACAAGAGGUGGUAGAACAUGCUUUUUCAUCAAUGAAAGUUGGUGUACAGAUGUAACAACAUCAAAGAAGAUGUGCUGUCCUAAUUUGGAAUCGCUCUUUAUCAACUGGUAAGCCUUUCUACUCACCACAGGAGUUUUCCUCGUUGAGUGUUGUUUAUAUUCCUCCACAAGCAUGUGAGCGCAGUGCUGCAACAGCUGGCUGAUCAGAUCAUGGACAUGGAACAACAAUACCCGGACUCACUUAUUAUUAUUCUCUGCAAUUUUAACAGAGCCAACCUCACCCGUGAAUUGCCAAAAUACGGACAGCACAUUACACCCCCCCCCACCCCAGAGACAGAAAUAUACUGGAUCACUGCUACAUAACAUUAAAGGAUGCAUAUUGCUCUGUCCAUAGAGCAGCUUUGGGACUCCCUGAUCACUGUCUGGUUCAUCUUUUUGAGUUUCAGGCAGAAACUAAAUCAGUUAAACGUGUAGUAAAGACUGUAAAAAGAUGGAUCAAUGAAGCAGAGCUGGAACUACAAGCCUGCUUUGACUGCACUGAUUGGAGUGUUUUUGAAGCUGCAGACACCAAUCUGGACGAGCUCACAGAUACUGUGACAUCAUAUAUCAGUUUCUGUGAGGAUAUGUGCAUUCCUACUAGGACUUAUUUAAUGUUCAACAAUGACAAACCAUGGUUUACAGCAAAACUCGGGCAGUAAGAGGAUGCUUACAGAAGUUGGGAUAAAAUCUUUUACAAUCAGUCCAGAAACACACUGACAAAAGAGAUUAGAGCAGAGGAAACCAAGGCCUGCCCGACCACCAUGACGCCACCAGAAGAACCCUGUGUUUGCAUAUGGAAAUCCUGUGCAACGUCUCCCACAACAGUAAAAUUGGAGGAAAAGCAUAUAGUAGGCAAUUUGGCCAUUCAUGAGACAGUGCAUCCUGACCCAAGGGGCUGGAUGCUUCUAACCUUGCGAACCAUAAUCGACAGUGAGUGGUCAUCUCUGAUGCAAAAAGAUCCACCUCUGCCCUGUUGAACCGAUGCCAUAUCUCCUGUACUACAUCUGGAUGAAGCCUCCAUUCCCCUGAAUGUAGUUGUCUCUGGAGAGAGCAUCUGCUAUCUGAUUGUCUGACCCUGGAAUAUGAACCGCUCUUAAUAACGCAAGUCAUGGUAGGUACCAUGUGAGAAUCUUGUGAGUGAGUUCCAGGGACCUGUGAGACCUCGUGCCCCACUGAUGGUUCAGAUGGAACACUGUCGAGAUGUUGUCUGAUCGAACAAGCACAUGAUGGCCCGCUAGAACUAGCAAGAACACCGCACGACGCUCAAGCAGAUUGACAUGGUCUCUGGAUUGAUUUGCUGUCCAACAAACGUAAAUGCCCCUCUUGUUCCACAUGAGGGAGGCGCUAGUCGUAAUUACUUCCCAGUGAGAGGGAGUAACACCUAGAGGCACCCCCACUUUCAGGAAUUCCCUUUGAUUCCACUGCCUAAGGGCACGAAUGCAAUGGUGAGAAAUGACAAUCAACCAGUGGUGAUGUCUGGUAGGAUUCAACCUUAAACCAUUGUUCCACCUCUGGAGUGGUCUGAGGGUGGAGUAAGCCCAACGGAAUUACUACUGUGGCAGCCGUUAACAUUCCCAUCAGUCACAGGAACAUUCUGUACUGUAGUGGCACUCCAGGGCGGAAACAAGUCAGGAGUCGCAGGAUGCUGGUCACCCGCACAUGUGACAAAGUGGCAGACAUUGCAAGAGAAUUCAAAGUUAUUCCUAAAAAUGUAGUUGAUUGUGUUGGGACCAGACAGCUCUUUGACUUGUUCACAGAGAGGCCCAAUCUCUGCACAUGUUCCAGAAGUAUUCUGGAGUCGCACAUCGCCUGGUGCUUUGUGGGGCUACAAAGUAGCCAGUCAUCAAAUAAGGCAAAAUUUGUAUUCCUCUUGACAAAAGGGGAGACAGUGCUGCACUCAUGCAUCUUGUGAAGACAUGAGGACCAUGAACCUGAAAGUAUGUGCCCUUGAGGUUGACACUCACAAACCAAUCUUCCCUCGUCACAGACCGCAGAACAUCAGCUGUGCAUAACAUUCGAAAGGGAAGGACCUUUAGAAACAAAUUCAGAUGUCUCAAAUCAAGAAUUGGAUUGAAACCACUGUCCUUUUUUGGAACCAGGAAAUAAGUCGAAUAGAACCUGUCCCUUUGAAAGAGGGAAUUUAAAUUUUUCUGUGGCUCCCUUUUCCAAUGAUAAAAUAAUUUCUUGAGAGAGUGCCAUCAAACAAACUGCAUCCCUGACAAUUGUAGGGAUGAUUCCUGAGAAUCUGGGGGGCCGGCGACAGAACUGUAGGGUAUACCCCUUGCUCAGAAUAGACAGGACCCAAGGAUCCGAUGUUGUGUCCCUCCAGUAUUUCAGUUGUUGUACUAAAAUAGCACGAGGUCUCUGAAGGGUCUGUGGCUGUGGAGUAGAGUGUUGCAUUGUUCCUGUGUAGCGAAACUGUGGCGGACUUGAACUGCCAGUACCCUAAAAGUAGGAGUUUGCUGUACCUAUGUCAGCUGACAAGUAGCUUUGGACAACUUAACUCUUUUCCAGUAGUUCCUGGAUGUUUGGGCCGAAGAGGUGCCCAGGAACAAUUGGAAGCUCCCUCAGCAUUUUUUGCAAUCCUCUGGCAGUUUCGCCUGAGCAAGCCACACUUGGCGGCAAGCUGUUAGGAGUGUAGCGGUAAGCGCACCCAGCUUGUGAGUCACAUGACCCAUCACCAAAAGAGCCGUUUGCAUGAAACUGUGAAUUGAAGGGAUCGAUAUUCGCUGUCUCAAGUAAUGGAGAUAGCGAGUAGCAACUGGCAGAUUGUGUUUUCUGCACAUGUUAUGUAGGCGGUAGACUCGUAGGCCUUUUUCAAAAGUGCAUCUGUGCAUCCGCAUUGUGCACUAGGGAGACGUUCAUUACGCCGCAGAGCCUCGUCAGGAAACACAACCAAGGAUGCAACAGGUUGCUCUUUCUGGUGCACACCCCACCCCGAUGGAAUCUGCUUCAGCCAUGAAAGCGAGUAUACAGGCCGUCUUCGAUUGCCGCUUAGGUGCGCCUGGACAUGUGAGGGUGCUCAAAUUCCUCCACAAAGUCUUGACAUGGUGGCAAGGUAAAGGAAUUUGUUGCGGACGAUUGUCUAAAAAAGACAUUGGACUUGGUGGAUUGGGCAGAUGGUCUAACAAGUCCCAGGCGAGCAACAGCCAUCUGGAGUACAUUCAAUAUAUCAUCAGAAGAUGUUGGGGCAUUACCUGAUGAUUGAACAGAAUCCCCACUAGAGCGAACUGCCACCGAAAACCCAGCAAAACCAUCCUGGGGGGGGGGAGGUUGCACAACAACAUGCUCAUGAAAAUGGGAGUUGGAAGCACUUGUAGAGAGAACAUCCAUGUCUGAAUUAUGUGAAAGAUAAGGGGAGUCAAGAGAUUCCUCAAUUCCCAGAUUUGAAAUAUCCUCUUCUUCUCGUGUCACUGUUGCAGGCGGGGGAGGAAUCACAGGUUGAGGCAACUGGAGAAGACGUUUCUGCCAUCUCUGAAGAGAGAACAGCCACUGUCUUAAAGAGCGAAGGGUCCUCCAUACGGCUGCUUUUAGCACUAGACUUUUUCUUAGUUGGGGGGGCACCUGCCGCCGCCAUAGCAUGGCGUUUCUGAGUCUGUGGGGGCUAACUCUGGCUGCACGAGUUUAACCGUCGAAAUAGUAUCCAACUCUGUGACAUUGGAAAAGGCUGCAGUGCAGACAUGGGCCAGUGAGCAUCUCUCAGAUGCUGAAUUCCCAAACAAUGUGGGCAAACUUCGUGUCCAUUGGGGAGAAGCACAAUUGGACACAGUUUACAGAUCGGCGGGAAGCCGGUAGCAAUAGCGUUAUGAGCCAUGUUAGAUCAGCAAUGAACACCUUUGGAUAGAACCAUAAGUCUACAAGUAGCGAUAACGGACCAGAAAUGUCAGGCUGAUAAAAACACUAUCCAAUAUUCAAUUGUAACUAGCCAUCGGAUUGCACCGUAAGGCCCAGAGUAUCAAAGUUUGGCAAAAAACACAACAAAAAUUAUUAUGAUGUAAUAAUAAAGUUAGCGGGGAAACCGCUAACUAUCAGUGUGGCUAACACCAGCCACCAGAUAGAACCGAGAGGCAACAAGUGUUACCGAUGAGCAGAAAGAUGUAAAACACUCACAAAGUAAGCCAAUCCGAAAUGAAAUCCAAAUUCAUUGAAUGGUGGAAGCACACUGUCACAGCUUUGCGAUUACAAUGAGUUCACUGCUCUAGUAAGCUGCACUUGACAGCGCGAAUAUCCUCCGGAAAAAAAACUACCUGUCUCUAACAGGCGAGACCCUCUGAGCUCAACCCAUGUCAUCACGUGAUUUUGUUGGUAUAUUCUCUCGACCUAUCUGGCUAAUCCACUAGUGUUUAACAAUGCCUCUGGCAGUCAGGAGGAAUGAAACAGAACCCAUAUAUAAUGCUGCAUUAUGUCCAUUUGUAAUCAACAAAUAAAUAAACUGUCUACAAAUCAUUUUAACUUGUCAAACAAUUUUUUUUAUUUUAUUUUAAAAUAUAAAAUAUAACAUAUUACCAUAGGCUAUUACUAUUAUCAUAAUGAUAAUUUUGCAACAUACAAAUGGAGGCUAAAGAGUAAACUUGUUCAAGUACUGAAUUAUGAAUUAUACUGAAUUGACACAUGAAAAUUCACCUCAUCACCUGUAGUCCCAAUGUCGUUGCAUUUUAUUUGUAUAUGCAUCCUGAGAUAGUCUGAGCUCCUAUGCAGCGUGCUCAUAGACAACACUAUUACAAACUGCUCCUAGAUGACUGACAGAGAGAGUCUGUCAAGUGAGAACUUAGCAUUUGUGCGUGUUCAGCCAGACAUGGUCGCGCUGUGCGUGUGGGUGCCAAUAUGCAAAUGAACUUCUGAACGAAAAAGCAAACCAGACACGCUCAUUGCCGGCAUUUCUUUCGUCUGUUCUUCAAAAUAUAAUCAGGUGUGUUUCCUCAAGCAUGCGUCUUUGUGUCUAGCGGCAUUUCGUGUCGACGGUGGCGGGUAAAUGUGCAAAAUUACCCGCCACUGCGCAUGAAUUCCCUGACUGUUAGAUUAUAAAUAUCGCGGGGAAGCGACAUGUAGGCUAGUUUACGUCGUCCAACAGUUUGAUAAUCCUUUUUACAGGUAAACUAUUUAUUAAAGCAGUGUUAGACAGAAUCUGCAGAAUAACUUUUGACAAAUACUCUCAAGAACACCUCUCAAAUAAAAUAUUGGAUUAUACAUUAUAACAGGAACGUUGAUCGAUAGUGAACAAACAGCGCUUUGGCUGUAGCAGUGGUGCAUAUUAAAGAACUAAAUGUAAAGAAUUAAAGAGACAAACUUAUCAGAGAGAAAAAUCUGUUAGUGUGGAACUAUGAACAACUAUGUUGUUAUUUUGGUGAGCGCCAUGUGACAGGGAAUCCAGUGGAGAGAGUUAUGGUGAGUUUGUAUGCUUGUCACCCCACCGCCAUUUUAUAUUUGCAAGUCUGUCAUACCUCCGACUGAAGAGGGUGAGAUCUCAGCAAAACAGUCUGCCUGUGUGACACGCUCGGCCAAAAUAUAGUUUGGGGUCUGCUAGUGUGGCACCAGCUUCAGUUGUUGCGAGUUGAGUUCCACUUUAGAUGGAAGUCAUACGUUUUCUUUUCUCUUUUUC